UACGUAGGGGGCAAGCGUUGUCCGGAUUUACUGGGCGUAAAGAGCGCGUAGGCGGACGCUUAAGUGUGGCCUGAAAGCCCCCGGCUCAACCGGGGAAGGUGGCUGCAAACUGGGCGUCUUGAGGGCGAUAGAGGAGAGUGGAAUUCCUGGUGUAGCGGUGAAAUGCGUAGAUAUCAGGAGGAACACCGGUGGCGAAGGCGGCGAUCUGGGCAGAUACUGACGCUGAGGUGCGAAAGCGUGGGGAGCAAACAGG
rnacentral:rRNA from 1 species